UAUAAUAUAAGAUUAAUUCUGCUCCAUGAUAGAAGAAUUAAAUAGCCGCAGUAUAUUGACUGUGCAAAGGUAGCAUAAUCAGUUGUUUCUUAAUUAGGAACUGGUAUAAAGGAAUAAAUGAAAUUUAAACUGUCUUUAAUAUAAAUUUAAAAAUUUAAAUUUUUAGUAAAAAUGCUAAGAUAUGAUUAUGGGACGAGAAGACCCUAUAGAAUUUUAUAUAGGAUUAAAUAAUGUAUGAUUAAAUUUGGGCUUAUAUUUAGUUGGGAGGAUUCUUAAAUUUAAAUAACUUUAAGAUUAAAAAAACUAUUAAUUUAUGGUUUAUGUUUGAAUAAAAUUUAAAAUUUUAUGGUAAAAUU
rnacentral:rRNA from 1 species